GCGGGUGUAGCUCAAUGGUAGAGCGUUGGCUUCCCAAGCCAAUUACGAGGGUUCGAUUCCCUUCACCCGCU
rnacentral:tRNA from 2 species